AGCGGCAGGCUUAAUACAUGCAAGUCGAGGGGCAGCAUGAGUGUAGCAAUACAUNUGAUGGCGACCGGCAAACGGGUGCGGAACACGUACACAACCUUCCUUUAAGUGGGGGAUAGCCCAGGGAAACUUGGAUUAAUACCCCGUAAUACCAUGAAGUGGCAUCACUUUAUAUUUAUAGCUCAGGCGCUUAAUGAUGGGUGUGCGGCUGAUUAGGUAGUUGGCGGGGUAACGGCCCACCAAGCCUUCGAUCAGUAACUGGUGUGAGAGCACGACCAGUCACACGGGCACUGAGACACGGGCCCGACUCCUACGGGAGGCAGCAGUAAGGAAUAUUGGUCAAUGGACGCAAGUCUGAACCAGCCAUGCCGCGUGGAGGAUGAAGGUCCUCUGGAUUGUAAACUUCUUUUAUUUGGGAAGAAACCCAUAGUUUCUACUGUGGUUGACGGUACCAGAUGAAUAAGCACCGGCUAACUCCGUGCCAGCAGCCGCGGUAAUACGGAGGGUGCAAGCGUUAUCCGGAUUCACUGGGUUUAAAGGGUGCGUA
rnacentral:rRNA from 1 species